UUGAGAAAUAGGUCUGCUGGUGGGGAAAAAAAUAAUGCUGCGUGUAGAAAUCUCUAAGCUUUCAUCCAUUUCUAGGAAACUGGAAUGGGAGGAGCAUUCCUCCUACUCCUGAAGACAUCUGCAGUGUGGGGAUAUAGGGAAACUACUGCAGUACAAGCAUGACUUUGGCAAAUUAAAGUUUGUCAGAAUCUCAGCAAACUUUCCACUGAUCUGGGUUCACUUAUGCUUUUGUUACAGUUCUGGGCUUCUUUCUGAUGUUUCCCUUUGGACGUGUACUUUAAAACUAUUUCAUGAACUUGAGAUGCUUGAUUGUCCGCACAGUCUCAAGAGUAAGCAAGAUAUUUCUUUCUAUGGUCGUCUUCUUCCUCCUCCUCCUGCCUCGUUUUCAACUCAGCAUCUGGCAAAGAUGGACAAACUCUGGGACGUAAAAAUUCCCUUAACUAUUUACUAUGGUAAAAAGCAUUCUUUUUUUACCCUUGAGAGGAGCACAAAGAGACUCCCUAAAGGAAGGAAGAACUUCCUAAUGUGAAAAUAAACUACUAGAAAAUACAGCCCUGGCCCAUUUAUAAAAAGAGAACAGAUGCAGCAUGGAAGAAACAGUAAGAGAAUGCUUUUUCUUUGUCAUCCGUGGUGGUUUACCUAAGGACAUGGAAGCUAGCUUCUGGCAACACAGAUCCCUGCUGACAAAGGAGGCAUGUUCCAUCUCCCAGGUACCCAAAGCUGCUCUAGUAGAAGACGUCAGAAUCCAAAAUCUUCUGAUUCCUGACAAGUACCUCCUUUUGGUUGAAGUUGGCAAAAUGAAAGCAAAGGCUGGUCAGCACAUUUUCCAUCAUAAUCUAAGACUACGCAGAUGGAUCACAAAGAACUUCAGCAGUCAACACUACAUGCUUUAACGCGGACUAAAGCAAACUCAAGAUAAGCUUCAUCAAUAGCUAGAAGUGAACUUAAAAACAAAAAUGUUCAAAGCCAUUACGAAAUGAAAGCUACCUGUGAGGUACUGUGACACUAGAAGCUCCCAGGCUGAAUGAAAUAUGAAACUUGCUGGAAGAGUACAACACAGGUAGGAGUCAAAAAGCUUUUCACCUAAUUUUGUCUCUUACACACUGGAAUGACUCCAGUGUAACUUUUAUACUUCUUGUGCCUUUGUUUCCACAUCUGUAAUUCAGGUUACAUGCACCUUGCAACAGUUAUCCCACAAGGAUACAGAAAAGCUGAGAUGUUUUUUGAGAUCCAAGGGGAGGUUCAAGAAUUACAAUUAUAAAAAGCACAAGCACUUAGCGCUAACACCUCCAAACAGUAUCUCAAGUACAGGAAGGAUGGCCCCCAGACACAAGCCCUCAGAGCUGGACCUGAAGCAACAUGCUCUCAAGCUUCGUGAAGCCCGGAACCUCUCUCUGCUUCCAGCAGUGUGCAAAGACACCCUGCAGUACUAGGCUAUUAAUCAAUGCCUAAAGGCAAAACAAAAAGCUGUGUUCAGACUUCACACAGCUGCAACUUCUUCCACCUAAACCCCAGAGGUCCGAAAAUCUCUUUGAUUAGUAGGAACAAGUGUUCCACGAGUAACUAAUCCACAGAGGAGUAAGUGCGAGAGCAUCAAAGUGUCCAUAAACACUCAAAUUGCUCAGCACAGCUAGGCAUUCAGCCUUUAAAAAUGCAGCCUCACUGAGAAACUAUGCACCAUGAACAAACCAGUCACCAAGUACACCAAAGGCGAGGCAAAGAAACACAUCACUGAAACACUAUUUUGUGUUCCCACCAGUUUAACUCAUCUUCAUACAAAGACAGUAUGAAACAUAAGGUACUUUGGUUACCAUUAAAAAAGCAACACUUUAAUAUAAAACAUUAAGAAAUGGUGUCCUUAAGCUAGAUCAGGAGUCUCGUAUCCUUAAAGACUGUGUUAAGUGUGAAGCUGUCAGUAGCAUUAGUAUUCACUAACGACAAGAGGAAUUUUGUCCCAUUUAUAACAAGCUGUUAUGCUUUCCCUAUCUGUGAAAAGCCAGUGCAGUCAAGCCAUGGGAAAUAUAAGAAAAUUACUGGAAUUAGCAGGGGUGUAUACGUUUCUGUGUUUCUAGGAAGGCUGAAGUACGAGAAUUUCACAGAUGUGGGGACUUUUGAGAGCGUUCCAAUUGAAACAAACUUGCAACAAACCCUGCGGAGAGGUUCAUUCAACAGGAUGAGCUAACCAAGAAAACAGUCAUUUCUGGCUAGUUGCAUCAAUAUUAGCAGCAGCUGUGAACUCGGUAAACAGCUCUGUUUUCUGGUUGUCAAAGAGCUGCUAAAGCAGAUGUGAAACUCAUCAAAAAUAGGUCACGAGCAGAGAACAUGCAAGGGAAUGCAUCAAUACCAGAGUGAUCUGAAAAUAAGCAAUGCUGGAUUAUCUCAAUAGUGUUUAUUACCCCCAAAUUGUACCUAACACACAACGGCAACCAACAUACUCUUUAAUGUGAUUGCUAUGACAGGAUCUUCCUCAUAGCACAGUGGGUGAAUAAGGGUGUGGUGUUUUCAGCAGCUGAAGUACCAGAAAGAAGAAAAGGUACUGAAUUGCUCUCUGCUUACUUCUGAAUGAGGUUUUCUGAGGCAGGUUUUCAUGCCUGUCCUUCUUCUCAAACUCUAAUCAUCUCAGACUGAGGUAUCACAAUAAGCCAAACACAGAAUUCGCCACAGCUUAUUUUACUUUUGCCACUACAAACAGAUUACAAGUACACUCUGUCCGAUAGGCAACCCUCCAGCAACAGCCAUUCCUCCACGGGCAGGAAUCGUGGCCAACACAGCAAUGACCUUCCCCCCUCGUGGCCCACAGGACUCACUUCCUCAGAAUUCCCCCAUACGGAAAUUCACUUGGAUCUACUUCUAGGACUCUCACAGUAUGUAAAACACUUAACUUUCUUUACUGUCAAGAAUAUAAAGGCAGAAGGCUUAGCUCUAAAGGAAACAGACUAAGAAAAAAAAAUGGCGUGCUUCUUCUACAGUGGGACUAAACAAGGAACCUGUAUGUCCUGCUAUUGCUGCACCGAAUCUCCAUGGCCAUCCUUCACAGUGCAGGUGUGAGGCUGCCUUUGGCCAAAUGCCUUCAACAAGCUGAGUUGAAGCCCCAUAGCCUGAAGCAGACAAGUACUUCCCCAGUCAGUCAGUUACUGGGUGAGGACAGACACUCUCUUCUCUGGUUGUUUCCACUUCCACUACAAUGGCAGAUUUUACCUCCAACACCUAAUGACAUCAUAUAAUAAAACACUAGUAAGGAGGAGCUAGUCAAACCAACAAACAGAAAAGCCACUGUUAGCCUGAAAGUUAAUGUCAUGUUCAAAUGGGAGAAAACAGGUCUUCGGGAAGCAUUCAGAAAAAAUACUCCUUCAUUUAAGUAGCAGCAGCUCAGAAUAAAGCACUGAAAAAAAUAGAAACCGUGAAGAGGCUUCAGUUUAUUGAUGUUCCAAACCAGCUUUCCAGAAUUUCAGAAGAGAGGGAGGAGAGAGGGGGGAAAAGAGUUCACAUCCAACUUAAAAGAAAUCCCAUGACUUAUCUCAGUCGGAAGCCUUUGCUGAGCCAAAUGUAUGUGCAUUUUAGCACACAUUUCCUAUACCACAGAACCUAGGGUGAAACAUGGUUGUUGAUUACCAUAUUAAAACGGGUGUC
ensembl:lncRNA